CAAUAGCGUAUAUUAAAGUUGUUGCGGUUAAAAAGCUCGUAGUUGGAUUUCUGCUGAGGAUGACCGGUCCGCCCUCCGGGUGAGUAUCUGGCUCAGCCUUGGCAUCUUCCUGAAGAACGUAACUGCACUUGACUGUGUGGUGCGGUAUUUAGGACAUUUACUUUGAGGAAAUUAGAGUGUUUCAAGCAAGCGCACGCCUUGAAUACAUUAGCAUGGAAUAAUGAGAUAGGACCUCGGUUCUAUUUUGUUGGUUUCUAGAGCUGAGGUAAUGAUUGAUAGGGAUAGUUGGGGGCAUUCGUAUUUAACUGUCAGAGGUGGAAUUCUUGGAUUUGUUAAAGACGGACUACUGCGAAAGCAUUUGCCAAGGAUGUUUUCAUUGA
rnacentral:rRNA from 1 species